rnacentral:rRNA from 2 species
GGCUCAGAUUGAACGCUGGCGGCAGGCCUAACACAUGCAAGUCGAGCGGUAGAGAGAAGCUUGCUUCUCUUGAGAGCGGCGGACGGGUGAGUAAUGCCUAGGAAUCUGCCUAGUGGUGGGGGAUAACGUUCGGAAACGGACGCUAAUACCGCAUACGUCCUACGGGAGAAAGCGGGGGACCUUAGGGCCUCGCGCCAUUAGAUGAGCCUAGGUCGGAUUAGCUAGUUGGUGAGGUAAUGGCUCACCAAGGCGACGAUCCGUAACUGGUCUGAGAGGAUGAUCAGUCACACUGGAACUGAGACACGGUCCAGACUCCUACGGGAGGCAGCAGUGGGGAAUAUUGGACAAUGGGCGAAAGCCUGAUCCAGCCAUGCCGCGUGUGUGAAGAAGGUCUUCGGAUUGUAAAGCACUUUAAGUUGGGAGGAAGGGUAGUAACUUAAUACGUUGCUACUUUGACGUUACCGACAGAAUAAGCACCGGCUAACUUCGUGC